ACUUAAAUUGAAGAGUUUGAUCAUGGCUCAGAUUGAACGCUGGCGGCAGGCCUAACACAUGCAAGUCGAACGGUAGCACAGAGAGCUUGCUCUCGGGUGACGAGUGGCGGACGGGUGAGUAAUGUCUGGGAAACUGCCUGAUGGAGGGGGAUAACUACUGGAAACGGUAGCUAAUACCGCAUAACGUCGCAAGACCAAAGAGGGGGACCUUCGGGCCUCUUGCCAUCAGAUGUGCCCAGAUGGGAUUAGCUAGUAGGUGGGGUAACGGCUCACCUAGGCGACGAUCCCUAGCUGGUCUGAGAGGAUGACCAGCCACACUGGAACUGAGACACGGUCCAGACUCCUACGGGAGGCAGCAGUGGGGAAUAUUGCACAAUGGGCGCAAGCCUGAUGCAGCCAUGCCGCGUGUAUGAAGAAGGCCUUCGGGUUGUAAAGUACUUUCAGCGGGGAGGAAGGUGUUGUGGUUAAUAACCACAGCAAUUGACGUUACCCGCAGAAGAAGCACCGGCUAACUCCGUGCCAGCAGCCGCGGUAAUACGGAGGGUGCAAGCGUUAAUCGGAAUUACUGGGCGUAAAGCGCACGCAGGCGGUCUGUCAAGUCGGAUGUGAAAUCCCCGGGCUCAACCUGGGAACUGCAUUCGAAACUGGCAGGCUAGAGUCUUGUAGAGGGGGGUAGAAUUCCAGGUGUAGCGGUGAAAUGCGUAGAGAUCUGGAGGAAUACCGGUGGCGAAGGCGGCCCCCUGGACAAAGACUGACGCUCAGGUGCGAAAGCGUGGGGAGCAAACAGGAUUAGAUACCCUGGUAGUCCACGCCGUAAACGAUGUCGACUUGGAGGUUGUUCCCUUGAGGAGUGGCUUCCGGAGCUAACGCGUUAAGUCGACCGCCUGGGGAGUACGGCCGCAAGGUUAAAACUCAAAUGAAUUGACGGGGGCCCGCACAAGCGGUGGAGCAUGUGGUUUAAUUCGAUGCAACGCGAAGAACCUUACCUACUCUUGACAUCCAGAGAACUUUCCAGAGAUGGAUUGGUGCCUUCGGGAACUCUGAGACAGGUGCUGCAUGGCUGUCGUCAGCUCGUGUUGUGAAAUGUUGGGUUAAGUCCCGCAACGAGCGCAACCCUUAUCCUUUGUUGCCAGCGGUUAGGCCGGGAACUCAAAGGAGACUGCCAGUGAUAAACUGGAGGAAGGUGGGGAUGACGUCAAGUCAUCAUGGCCCUUACGAGUAGGGCUACACACGUGCUACAAUGGCGCAUACAAAGAGAAGCGACCUCGCGAGAGCAAGCGGACCUCAUAAAGUGCGUCGUAGUCCGGAUUGGAGUCUGCAACUCGACUCCAUGAAGCCGGAAUCGCUAGUAAUCGUAGAUCAGAAUGCUACGGUGAAUACGUUCCCGGGCCUUGUACACACCGCCCGUCACACCAUGGGAGUGGGUUGCAAAAGAAGUAGGUAGCUUAACCUUCGGGAGGGCGCUUACCACUUUGUGAUUCAUGACUGGGGUGAAGUCGUAACAAGGUAACCGUAGGGGAACCUGCGGUUGGAUCACCUCCUUACCUUAAAGAA
rnacentral:rRNA from 1 species